rnacentral:tRNA from 1 species
UCCCUGGUGGCCCAGAGGUUAAAGCGUCUGCCUGCAAUGCGGGAGACCUGGGUUCGAUCCCUGGGUGGGGAA